GAUGAACGCUGGCGGCGUGCCUAAUACAUGCAAGUCGAGCGAACGGACGAGAAGCUUGCUUCUCUGAUGUUAGCGGCGGACGGGUGAGUAACACGUGGAUAACCUACCUAUAAGACUGGGAUAACUUCGGGAAACCGGAGCUAAUACCGGAUGAUAUUUUGAACCGCAUGGUUCAAAAGUGAAAGACGGUCUUGCUGUCACUUAUAGAUGGAUCCGCGCUGCAUUAGCUAGUUGGUAAGGUAACGGCUUACCAAGGCAACGAUGCAUAGCCGACCUGAGAGGGUGAUCGGCCACACUGGAACUGAGACACGGUCCAGACUCCUACGGGAGGCCGCCGUAGGGAAUCUUCCGCAAUGGGCGAAAGCCUGACGGAGCAACGCCGCGUGAGUGAUGAAGGUCUUCGGAUCGUAAAACUCUGUUAUUAGGGAAGAACAUCUGUGUAAGUAACUGUGCACAUCUUGACGGUACCUAAUCAGAAAGCCACGGCUAACUACGUG
rnacentral:rRNA from 1 species